GACGAACGCUGGCGGCGUGCCUAAUACAUGCAAGUAGGACGCAGUUGCGAACGGGUGAGUAACGCGUAGGUAACUGCCUAUUAGCGGGGGAUAACUAUUGGAAACGAUAGCUAAUACCGCAUACUAGUAGAUGGACCUGCGUUGUAUUAGCUAGUAGGUAGGGUAAUGGCCUACCUAGGCGACGAUACAUAGCCGAGUUGAGAGGGGGAUCGGCCCCAAUGGGACUGGACCACGGCCCAGACUCCCACGGGAGGCAGCAAUAGGGAAACAUCGGAAAUGGGGGGAACCCUUACCGAGCACAGCCGCUGUAGUGAAGAAGGUUUUUGGAUCGUAAAGCUCUGUUGUUAAGGAAGCGGUACUUAACCAGAAAGGGACGGCUAACUACGUGCCAGCAGCCGCGGUAAUUC
rnacentral:rRNA from 1 species